UGCUGAGCAGCACGCAGCAGGAGCGUAGGCCUACCAGCCUGCCGUGGAGCGUGGAACAGACUCUCAGCCCCAUUACAACCCCGUGUAAGCCAGCCUCCUGUCAUCACAGGGCUGGCUUACACUCACCCACAUCUAGCCUCCCACACAGCACGCACAGGAGUUUUCAAAGUGGCAGGGAAGGAAGGAACAAUCUUCCCAAGCCUGGAGAAAAUCCCUUCGGUAUCAAACCAGCUGAGUUCAGGGAGAGAGAGCAGCGGAGCUGGGAACAGCGAGCAGAUGUCCUGAGUCAGCCCAAGAAACUCCAGACAGGCAUACCAGUAUAACCAUCAGCACACUGAAACAGUUCAGUCUUUGAGAGGUCCUCCAGAUUCCUCUGACAUUCCUGCUGCCUGAGAUGUUCGGCUCCGUCGGGAGACCCCUCUGUCCUAUUUCUGGUCAGGAAAGGGACGCAACUGGGCCCUGGAAGACUGACUGGCUGGAGAGUGAAGGCAGGACUGGCUCCGAGAGUGGACUCCUGGCAAUGUGGCUGAGAGCAAAUGUGAACAAACACCACUUCUUCCCUGCUGAUGGAGCAGAGCUGUUUCCUUGCCUCUCUCUGCCUGCCCUUCACACCAAAUGGGGACGGCAGCGAGGGAGCGCGCCUUGUGACCGGAGUGGGACCCGUGCACCGAGCCCUGUGUGCUUCGUCUCCAGACCCUGAGACUUCAACGUGACAAGAUUGCAAAGCCUGCUGACGACUGCAAAAUGGAGUGUCAGAUUGGUAGUGGACGGCCAGGAAAUGCCACCCUCUCCCUCCCCGAGCUCGUCUCUUUGCGGAAAGCCCUGUAUGCCAGUUAAGACUUGCUAGUGAACGAAGAGCUUGUGUCUGCCUGACGGCUUUCUGAUCAAGUCAUCUUUGCCAGCCAAAGCAGAUUCUUCUUGCCUGCUUCCAAGAGGCGUGAGCUUAAACAACUGGUCUCAGAGUGGGGCGUCUCUACAGUCUGAGCCAUGAAGAGAGGAGAUGAAAAGUUCCCCUGUUCAGCGUAUACAGAAGAGACUGGAGCUGAGCUGCUAUCUCCGUAACAGUAAAACUACAGCAAAAUCUGAAUUCUUUGUUCAUGUUUCAUUGCCUGCUUUGAGGAAAACAGUGAUCAUGAGCUCAGGCAUCAGCCUCGGGUGCCUCCAGCAUGAGAACACAUGGCUCCCUACGUGAACCUCAGCCCCAGCUUUUUUUAAUUCAGAGCCUGCCAGUGAGUUAGAGAAGCCCUAAGGUUUGCUGGGCCAAGCCAGGCUUUCACGGAAAAGACCUCUGGAGGCUCCACUCAAACGACAACAGGGGAAGCAAUACUUUGCAAUCAGGAAGCUGCUCGUUUUCGCGAUUAGCAUUGCUGUUGCCCCCGGGGGAAAGAAUGGCACUGUCUGGACAGACUUUGGAUCCACCAAAGAAACUUCCAUCUGGUACUCCACCCAAGACCCAGUUUACAAGUGGAAAAGUUGCCUGGUUCCCACGGAUGAUUUUGGAUUUAGGACCCAAGAGAUGGUGUGCUGUGUGGGGCACAGUGUCACAUGCGAGUGGUGAGAAGUGUAGUUCACCCACUAGCUUUGACAUGAGUUUCCAGCCUCAGUUUGGUAGGAAAAUGUACAGUUACUAGCCCGGAUCUCAGCGGGGAACAGGGCUGCUCUGAUUGCCAUGGAGGGAGCUGGAUCUCCAAGCUUAUCCGGAGCGAGCGGAGGUGUCCGCAGCACGGCCAGCAGUUUUUCUCAUCCCUUGCGCAGUCCGUGGAGAUGUGUUGCCAUCCCUGUGCCCGUGCCAGGAGGAGGUAUCGGCUCGCCCAGCACCGGGGUGGAUGGCUCCGAAUUCCCCUUGGGAAAGGCUACGGCAGCGUCGGCUCCUGCCUGCCCCUCGGCCUGCCCCGCUGAGAUGGGACCCGUGCCGUGAGGAGGGACCGUCCGUCCCGCCAGCCCCCGGAGCCCACGGCCUCUGCACCAGGGUCAGACCCAGGAGUGUCUCCCGGAGAGCUCCGGCUGCACUGGGGGGGGGGGGUCUCCAGCACGUGCCUCUGGUCGUCGAAGCCUCACAACAGCCCUUUUCGUCCAGACGCCACGACUUUCUGUCGAUGUCCCUCAAGCCGAGUCUGAGCCCGGAGGCACAGAGGUUACAGAGCUUUUUCCCCCCAACCAUCUGCACUCAAGAGCCGUCCUGUCUUGUAUAAUUUUCCAGUGGGGAAGAGGCAGGCUGGGCAGCGUGAACUGGAGACUGCCGUGCGCCUUGGACGUCCCGACAAGCCGUGUGUGGCCAAGACCUGCUGAAGCAUGUUGACCAGGAGAGCCGGAGACGCUGGAUUCCUAAAACCUGUGCUUUACCCAACACCUUCACAAAGUUGCCUGGAUUAAAAUUAUUCAGGAAACACAUUUUCAGACUGUCAGUGAGGUGCAUUCAUCACUCCCCUGAAUAUGCACCAGAUUGUUAAUGCUUCAGGCCAAAUACCAUGUCUUCUUUAAUGCCUACAAAAUGUAGUGCAUGUUGCUGGCUUUAUAUUUAUAAUAAUUAUAAAAGUAACGGGAGUAGCUGCAUUCCUAUAGGCUAGAAAUGGCCAAGCGCAGACGAAAAAAAUGAUUCAUUGUUGCAAUUAAUGCUUGAGCUUGCACCUGUGAUUAAUUAGCCUGGCGAUAGCACUAUGCAAAAGAUCAGGGUGAAAAUUAAUAGGGAGACCAGCGCCGACUUUAAGAUGGUUAGACUACUAUUUAGUGCUCCUUCCUUGGGCUGCCUCUGCCCAUUUAAUUAAAGGCGAUGGCACAGGCUUGCUAUGCACCAAUGGACCCAUCGGCAGGUGGUGCAGAAUAUUUAUAUAACAGUGUUCAGUAGCAAACUUCAAAAUUAAAUUCCCAUCCAGGUCUCUAAAUAUAAUUUUGAAAUGUCAGAGAUGCUACGAAGAAUGCUGGCACCGGGUGAGGUUGCUGUCAGGAAGAGGCAAGAGCGUGCCGGAUUUCUACGGUUCUAAAUACGCAGGUGACUUUCCAGCUACGGCGUUGAAGGGAGCCUGAAGCGCGCUGGUGGGCAUCCUUCAUCUGCUGGGAGGCAGAGAAACCAACAGGAACCCGUGCCGCAGAUCCGCAGACCGGUGUCUCUGAUGGGUGCGAUGGAGCAGGGGCAACUCCCGAGAGCAAGUUCCCAUGAAGCACCAACUGUUCUGAAGCACCAACCUUUUAAGUUCCCAACACAACCACGAGCAAUAUCCUGAACUGAGCGUUCUAACUUCAGGUGAAGAAAAGCAACAGAAGCAGAUGGGCUUGUAAACAGCAGAGAUCUGGCUCUCCCACAGAGGUCCUUGUGGAGUGGAAAGGAGCAGAAUGGGAGACUACUGCAGAUCCUGUGGAGUACAAGCGUCACGGAACAGAGAGACCUACGAGAGGUGAUUCCAGGUUGGGAUUUCAGAAAGCACGGCGUACUGCGGGAUAAUGUAAUGAAGAAAAGCAGCUGAAGAAAGAAAAGAUGCUCCUGCGGGUAGGUGAGCAGAAGACCUACAAGGCUGCGUUUUGGUUCCCUGCGUUCCUGAAGAGUGCUGGCAUGGCCCCGGCUGCGCGAAGUGCUGCCCGUCAGAGAUGCCCAAGUUAGGCUGUGUUCUGCAGCAGCUUCUUCUGGCAGCAGUGCCAAGGCAGCAGAGAGCAAGAGGGCAUUUGGUCCCGCAAGAUGUGGAACCAGAUCUUAAAAAAUCACCGUGGUUGCCCAUCAGAUAGAUGCUUCAGAGAAGGAGGUGUCCUGCUGCAUUCUGGUGGAGGGUUGUCGGAGAGGGAAGAGCCAGAUUUCAGAAAAAUUGCUGCUUAUCUUCCCUCCCCCAAGAUGCUGAAGCCCAGCACCUCAAACUGUUGUGACUGCCUGGGUUUGAUGACAUCUAAAAUGACACGUGUUGGAUCAUCAGAACAGAGUGGGAGCGGCACAGCUUGGCUUUGGGAGCCAAAAAUAGUACUUCCUAGAAUGACCUAGCAGCCUGAGAAGGAGCGGCUGACUGCAGAUACCGCGAUGACAACCCCAGAAGGACCUGAUGAGUGGUACCUGAUAUCUGAAUGUAAAUGUUCAUUCCAGAUGAUAUAGACAUAAACAUCCAUUUCUUCUCAGCCCUCAUGCCCUCCACAAAUGCAGCUGAUGAGCCCCCUGAGCAGUGGACGGGUCCCAGAGCUGGAGGGAGACGACAGUGCUGCGUAGCCACCGGGAAGCGUGCCUUGGCCUCUUGUCAUGAGAGCGCAGGGUGCAUGGGCUGGGGGCGGGGAGGGGGUUAAUGGGGAGCAACUGCCAAGUACAAAGAAGAAGAGGAACAAAGGAUUCCAGCCGUAUGACCCAACACGUUGGCUGUAUCUAUCAGGUAACACAAAAAAGCGCGGCAGGGUGAUGCUGCUAGUAGUAACUUUCCACACUGGGCAGAGGUGUCGUUUAAUUAAUAUCUGUGAAGUGUGCUGAGAUCACCAGGAGCAAUGGACUGUAUAUUUUCCAGGCAUCCUCUGUUGCUGGGCUAAGACUGGUUCUUUGAUUUCCCAAGCCCAGAGGCAAAUGACUGCUUCUAUGUGCUAGGUAUCGAUUCUCUUCCUUUUGUUUUUAUCCUUUCUCCUCUCCACUUUUUUCCACUCCGUUUUGAAUUGCUCUCAGUCUGCUACAGUCUCACUUCCCUGCCUUCGCCGGCACAGACACCGGGAGAAAACGGGGUGAUGUUUACAUAGCACCGAAGCACGAGGACUCGGGAGAUGUGAAACGGGGACCUGCUGCACAGCCUUUGGUGACUCACAGCACCUUUCCAUGGUUCUGCUUUUCUUCUAACUUCCUGCCAGGAUAACCUGCUAGGCUAUAACCUUUCUGGGGAAAGGACUUGCUUUUAUUGCAUGCUCCUACGGUGUCUAAUACAAUAGGACCCAACCUCAGGUAAGACCUUUAGGCACUCCCAUUAUACGAAUGAGAACAAGAUUGUUGGUGUCAGUAAUUAACAUUCUUGUGGGAUUGUUGGAAAUGCUUUGGGAUAAACACCACCUGGAAUCCUCGUCUGGCUUAUGUGGUUUUUAAGCUGCAGAGGAGGCUGAUCCUGUUCACACAGGAGGGCACGGACCGUCUGUCUCUUCUCUUACUGGAUGUGCAAAAAAUCUUUCAGUCCAAAGGUGAGUUACAGUACCUCAGUGAGAAAAGGGACGCUGGCAAAGCGAGGGCAUUGCUAGGGGGAGAAGAAUGGAGACUCAGUUGUCAGUGUCUCUCCAGCAACGAUCUCGCCUGAGAACAAAGACUAUAUGACAACCACCAAAACAGGGAAAAUUACCAAACUAAGUGUCACUGAUAACACUGUGAAUGCCUGUGGCACAGUGUCAUCCCAUGACAGGCUUCCGGAGAUGAAAUCUCCCUCUGGUUAAAUGGAUGGCAAAAAUCCCGCUGACUGCAAUAACACCAGGUUUUUCCCGUGGGGGUUACCUGGAUUUCUCUCCUGAAUGCCCAGACAGCCACAUCCCGCAUCUUUAUGCACAUACCAAUAACAAAUAAAUUAUGCUUUUCCUUUAAAGUGUGGAUUGGAUUCAGCAAACCCUGCAUUUUGGAUUCUAGGUUCCCUCUAUCUACAUCUGAAAUCCCCUAAAUAAACAAACAUUGGAUCAGACCUCAACAGCUCCCUCUGCUCAGCAACUGAAGCCUUUGAAAGCAUUUCACACCAGCUGCUCUGCUUGUAUUUCAGACUGUUAAACACCGACUCAAGCAAAGGAGCUCUGUCUUCCUCUCAAACUUCCCAGGGAACUAACCCGUUACUGGAAGGUCUGCCUCCAUAUAUGACCCUCCCCGACUCCAGUGAGGAGUUGAAAUUGUUUAGCUGUUGACAUCAGGAAUGACAUAAAUAUGUGCUGGGGUUAGAGGGUUUCUGGCAAAUGGCCUGCUAACCUAGAAUUUGCUCUGCAAAGUCAGGAGGAUGACAUUUAACCUCAGAGCAGUUUGCAAAACCACAUCUGUGACCAAUAAGUAUGAAAAAAAAAAAAAAUCUAGUCCCUGCUGAACGAUAGCAUACCUUGCUGGGCACGGUGGUGCUGGAAUCGGUAUGGAGACCUGUGCAGGAAUAAUCAGACAGGUCAUCACUGCCAGAAGUCGUCUGUGGACGUAGCUGGUGCCUCGCACACGAGGGAGGCAGCACAGCAGAUUAGGCUGAAGGUGAGUAUCUCAUAGCUGUAAGUCUUAAACUUAAUGAGCCACAUCUUUAUUUGCGCUGCAGCUCCUUCUUAUCCCAAAAUUGCCCUAACCAGCUGCUAGAGGAUGCCCAGUAAUGGAAAAUUCUCUGGAUAACAAUAAAUUGGCGUAACGAUUCAGUGUCACCUCACAUCCCGCUAACCAAUAGAGAAAUCACAAUCAGAAAAAUGGACACAACCAGCGUGCCAUUGAACAGUUGAAUCCUAAAUUCAUCACCCUUCUUGUGGGCAACAGAUAACCCAGUGCAAUUUACAGCAGCUCUGAAGUGGCUCCAAAUCUCAGCAGGAGUCAGAAAGGCUCAGUGCUAGCCUCGGGACCGAGGAGUCGCAAAAGAUGAGUGAAGUUGUCAUUGUUCCCAUACCCUUGCUUCUGCACCAAAAUACAGUAGGCUCGUUUGAAAUAUGAAGCACCUCAAGCAUAAAACAAAAUUUUAAUCACUGAAAUUAAGGUCCUCCUCUGGAUCCCCCUCAGGAGAACACUGUCUGUCUCCGAUGAUCACGCACAGACUCUCAAAGAAGGUAAAUUUUGAAUUUAAAACUCUACAUCAGUGUGUGAAUGACAGCAUUAAAUCUUGGCUGUAAGGCUGAGAUAUCUCCAAGAGGAGAAAAACACUUUUUUCACUCAACCGUGUAGCUGUGGCUGAGGUAGGCGAGGUAAAUGUAUUGUCUCCAGCUAUUACAGGGUGAGGGAAUCAUUUAUACGCGUAUAUUACGCGCUUGCAGCCUAAAGGUGUGGCUUUUUUAAUUCAAGAGUUUAAAAGUUUAGAAAUGCUGACAAUAAGGUGGCCCAUGCAACUGUAAUUUGUCCCUUUUGUGCAUUUGCAUUAUGAUUCACUCUUUAAUUGUAAUUAGAUCACACGCUGUUCUUUCGGCAGGUUCCCGGCCUCACUCAUUGUACAGAGUAGACUGUGCUCACUAAGUAAUAAUUUUAUUUUCUCCUCGCUGUUCACUAUGCGGCCCAUGCUUUAUUUACUGCACACUAUUCAAAUAUUGUUCUGAGGACAGAUUUAUUCAUUUCCUCCUGGGCUUUUCCAUGGUGCUCAUCGCUAUGGUAUCCAAGUGCUUCACAAACUCUAAUUCAUUUUCUCAACACUGUUGCGAGAACUGGUGUUACCCUUAUUUUACAGAUGAGGAACUUAGCUAUACAGACAGAAUAGUAAAAAAUACCUUUUAAAUUUAGAUACCCAGUUAGAAAUACUCAUGGCCUGAUUUUGUCAGAAAAUACAACACGGCAAAGCACCUAAUUUAGUCGAAAGUUGAAUAAAUUCUCAUUUACUGCAGAUAUAUCUGCAAGUGCUCUUCAGUUCUGCAAAUCAGAUUUCAAAAUGUCAAAUCAAGCACCUAGGAAGUAAAGACUGCACAAUUAGUGCAUCGCUGUGAAGUUUCUGUUUCAAGCACUGUGCUUGGCAUCCCAGAGGAGUUCUGAGGCUGAAGCCCUUUCCUGGAGCAGCAGUCACCCACCUCAGCCCCAGUGCCAUCCUUGCUCUCCCCGCGGUUCCUUGCAAGAGAUGACCUAAAAAAAUGCCAGCAGUUUAAUCCCGUGUUGACAUCAGUGCAGGCCAUCAGCAAUGUGGAAACUCACCCUGUAUGAGGAAUGUCGUAGUUUGCAUGCAGCCCAGCACGAGGCUCGAAGAUCCCUGACAGACGGGAUGAAAGAAGACCUGUUUAUGAUUUAACGUGAGUAUAAAUUACAGUUCGUUGCUGGUAAUCCUUCUGGCAUAUCAGAUAUCAGCGUAACUCGGCAAGCAUAAUAUGGAGAAACCCAAACAUCCUUCUGAGGAGCUCCGGAGGCAGGGUUGCCGCAGCUCCCCGCCGGUUCCCAGCAGCGCAAGGACUCCCCUUGGCAGCUCCUCCUCCGGCUCGCCAAACCCGCACGGGUAACCGGCUUGGGCUUUGCAGCCGCGCUGGGCUCUGGCUACGAGAGGAGGGUGUGUGUGUGUGUGUGUGGGGAGGGAAAUAAAAAAGUUUAUUUCACGGAAAGACGGGAACUUUAGCGCACCGCUCCCGUUGCGGGCGCCCGCAGCGCCGGUAGGUCGGGAGCGACGGAACAAGCGAACCGGCGGGUUUUGGCCCCGUCCCCCGCGGGAUCGGGCCGGGGUGCCCGGUGCCGAGCUCCCCGCAGAGCCGGGCGGUGGGUGCGGGUGUGGGUGUG